ACAGCCUUCAACAGCUCAGAAAAUCCUCUGCAUCCCCAGGGUCAGCAGUGCUGCCUUAUUUCUACACUCCCUGGAAGUGAUGAUGUCAGGAUCAGGGCACAUGGGAAUCCACCACCCCCUCCCUGCUGCCUCCUGCAGCAGCUCUCCUGCCCUGUGCAAUUACCAAAGUGUCACUGCUCAUUUGGACAGUGAUGGGAGGGUGGAAGGAGAAGGAACACACGACGUGGCUGAAAUACAUCAAACCCAGAAGCUUCAUUAGCCAUGCUCCAGAGAUCUGCAAAACCUUCAAAACUCGAUUGCUCUAUAAAUUUGUAAAGAUGCUGUGACACCAGCUUAACACAAGCUGAAGUCCCUGUAGCAAUGAGUGCUACUUGCAAGCAGUAGGAGAACACAACAGAUAGCAUCUCUCCAAAGACAACUUAAGGCAGUGGAAGUGUUGUGCCUACGUGUCUGCUCUGAUUUUGUAUUAAUUACUACUAUUACAGCAGAACCCAGAUGAGAUCAAGCUCUCUCAGAUACAACAAGGGACCAUUCUUGCUGCAAGUCUCCGUUCUCAUUUGAGUGACCAGACUCACCGUCUACCUUGCAACAAAAAGUAACGAGGAGUAAUAAGUCCGUAAGCUAAACAAGUGAAAGGAGCAGCUCAGCAUGGCCCCACAUGCCUCUGCUGAAAGCAUUUUGGAGAGUGAAGCACUUCAGAAGCCAGCCUGUGAGUUUGCACCUUCAACCUGGUCCUUUCCCAAUGGAGAAAAAUCUCAUUUUCCACAGCUAAUUGAUGCACAGAGCCAUUCGGCUCAUUGAAAUUAUGGAGAAUAAAGGGUUUUUUUUUUUUUUAUAGGCUAUCUAUUAGCAUUUUUAAUUUGCUACAUGAGGUAAGUUUUAAAAGGUGCCAGAGAGCAGUUUAAGAAAUUAGCUGUUCUUAGCAUUUUCUCCUCUUUCUGCCUGACUUGGGUCCUCAAAGCCUUAAUUAAAACCAGGGAGCACUUCCAGCAUGAGGCACUGCAGACGACACGCAGCAAGGCAAGUGGAAGUCCUCCAUGGAGCACCAUGGGGACCUCUGGUAGGACUGGGAAGUGAAAGUGCAAUUCUGAGAAUAGUCAAUU